GUGAGGAAUUUUCCGCAAUGGGCGAAAGCCUGACGGAGCAAUGCCGCGUGAAGGAUGAAGGCCUAUGGGUUGUAAACUUCUUUUCUCAGAAAAGAAUUAUGACGGUAUCUGAGGAAUAAGCAUCGGCUAACUCUGUGCCAGCAGCCGCGGUAAGACAGAGGAUGCAAGCGUUAUCCGGAAUGAAUGGGCGUAAAGAGUCUGUAGGUUGUUUAAAAAGUAUUCUGUCAAAGAUCAGGGCUUAACAAUAGAUAGGCAGAAUAAACUUUUAAGCUAGAGUUUGUGAGAGGAAGAGGGAAUUCCCGGUGGAGCGGUGAAAUGCGUAGAUAUCGGGAGGAACACCAAAGGCGAAGGCACUCUGCUGGGCCAAUACUAACACUGAGAGACGAAAGCGAGGGGAGCAAAUGGGAUUAGAAACCCUAGUAGUCC
rnacentral:rRNA from 1 species